GCGCCUAGGCCGGCGCGGGCCAUGAGCUCUGCCCGGCCCCAGUUUAGCAUCGAUGACGCCUUCGAGCUGACCCUGGAGGACGCGGGGCCUGGGCCCGAGUCCAGCGGGGUCGCCCGCUUCGGGCCGCUGCACUUCGAACGCCGGGCCCGGUUCGAGGUAGCUGAUGAAGACAAGCAAUCCCGGCUACGCUACCAGAACCUGGAAAAUGAUGAGGACGGAGCCCAGGCCUCUCCAGAGCCUGAUGGGGGAGUCAGCACCAGAGAUUCCGGGCACACGUCUAUCCGUAGCUCCCAAUGGUCCUUCAGCACCAUCAGCAGCAGCACCCAGCGCUCCUACAACGCCUGCUGCAGCUGGACCCAACAUCCUUUGAUCCAGAAAAACCGCCGGGUAGUGCUGGCCUCCUUCCUACUUCUGCUGUUGGGACUAGUGCUCAUCCUGGUCGGCGUGGGACUGGAGGUCGCCCCCUCUCCAGGUGUCUCCAGCGCCAUCUUCUUCGUGCCAGGCAUCCUUCUGCUAGUCCCAGGAGAAAACUUUUUCCACUCAAGGCCCUGACCGGUCACCUUCAGCACUGCCACUCUCUCAUGCCUGAGUCGUCUUUUCUCUGCUUCUUUUCAGACUUUGGAAUGUUCUUCUGGAGUUGAAAGUUCUGCCGGUCUUGCCUAGGCCUCCUGUACAGAGAUUACCAGCAUGGACUACCACACCCAGAUUCAAGUUCACUUCUCACUUAUUUAUUUAUUUACUCAUUGCAGGGGUUGCGUAGGGGUGGGUGGACAAGGCAUUAGCCUGCCAAAGAACAACUUUGUGAAGUUGGCUCUCUUCUUCCACCACACCAAACUUCAGGGAUCCAAUUCAGGCUUGGUGGCAAAAGCUUUUACCUACUAAGUCAUUACCAGACACAAGUUCAUUUUUCAAAAACAACCCUUUAUGUACACAAGCAGUGGGAAGUGUUCUAGCUACCCUCUCAAUUCAUCAUGUCCUAGGAAUUCCCCUAAUGCACUAUGCCUCAUUUAUUUGAAUGCAGCCAGUGCUGGGGAACUCCCUACCUCACCAGUAUCUAAAGAGAUUCAAAUCUUGUUCUCCAGUGAAAACUGCAACCAGCUUCAAUUUUUUUCCCGGGUGGGAGGAGAAGACAGCACAGGCAGAUACUGGAGUUGGGUGUGGUCAAAGAUGAACCAGCAUGAGGUGUGGGGGGAAUCUCUCCCAAGUUGAGAAAGGGUGUGGUAGUCUGGUUCAUGCUGGUGUCUUGGCCUCCAGGGGCAGUAGGAUGUCCCUGAAGGUGCCUCAGCCUGUAGAUAGCAUCAAUACAAACUCUGCCAGAAAGAGGGGAAGGGAAAGGCCAAUCCAGGUCAGGGAUUGUAGGAGGUUCAAGGUGCUAGAGGCAUGGGAGAGGUGUCUGAAAGGGUGACUCACCGUCAAAGUCUAUGGUGCCAUCUCCAUUGAGGUCCAUGUCUCGCAACAUCUCGUCCAGUUCAGUGCCCUCUAGUGGUUCCCCCAGCAGAGCUGGUGCUGCCUGUCGCAGCUCCGCCACUGUGAUCCGUCCAUCCCUGUCCUUGUCAAACUAUUGAGUAGAGCGUCCAAGCACUUGUAUGCCACAUUGUCUGCAUAUUUGGCUCUACUCGCUUUGUUUUCUUUCCUUAUUUAUUUAUUUAUUUAUUUAUUUAUUUAUUUAUUUUGGUUUUUCGAGACAGGGUUUCUCUGUGUAGCCCUGGCUGUCCU